ACUGCCCGAGCACUAUUUCAGCUGCACAUUUUUGGGUGGACCUCCCACAGUGGGAGCUACAGAGCACGGCCCCGCAACACACACACACACACACACCUCACUCUUGGUGUUGGGAGGGGAACAGGUGAAAGGAUAAAAGAAGCUAGAGACAAAGAGAAAGGAAGAAGGGAUGGAUGGAGGAAAAGGUGAAACACAAAGGACAAACCCUAAUGUCCCCAGUGAUUCUAAGGGACAAAAUCCCAGGUGCAGAAUAAAAUUCUGCAUCCUUAAACUUGUAUUUUCCAUGCCUAGAAUUCAACUGUCAACAGAUGGAUCAGACUGAACAGGGUUCAAAGCUCGAGGAGGCUCUUACCUUCUGAACAGGGAUGGCUGUUUUCUAGUAAAAUCAGGAAAAGGGAAGGAGAAAAUUCAAAAGAGGUUCCUCCUGGCGCUCACAUCCAUGAACCCAAAUACUCUCUUAGUCCUCAAAAAGAGACCCUGAGAAGGAGACUUGCUGAAGCAAAGCCACAGGGGUCUUUGAGGUGUCCCUGGUCCCUCGCCUCUGUCCUUCCUGCCUGAUGUCAGCAUCUCUCUGUGAGGUCAUCACCUCCCCACCACCUUUGACCAAUAGUCUGAGGUCCUGCAAAAGGCCUUUGUGAUGUCACUGCCACACCCCUCCCUUGCUGUGCUAAUGUCCUGCCCCUGGCCAGGCACUUUGGAGGUUUGAGCUACUCCCUGUGGAUCACCCCACUCAAGGAGCAUUCGUUCUAGGAAGCAAGCUGGCUAGACAGGAAAA